rnacentral:rRNA from 1 species
UGGCUCAGAACGAACGCUGGCGGCAGGCCUAACACAUGCAAGUCGAGCGCCGUAGCAAUACGGAGCGGCAGACGGGAGAGUAACACGUGGGAACGUGCCCUUUGGUUCGGAACAACCCAGGGAAACUUGGGCUAAUACCCGGUAAGCCCCAUGGGGGAAAGAUUUAUCGCCAUUGGAGGGGCCCGCGUCGGAUUAGGUAGUUGGUGGGGUAAAUUCUUACCAAGCCUUCGAUAAGUAGCUGGUCUGAGAGGAUGAUCAGCCACACUGGGACUGUUUCUCGGCCCAGAGAACUACGGGAGGC